AUUGAACGCUGGCGGCAGGCCUGAAACAUGCAAGUCGAGCGAGCGGCGGACGGGUGAGUAAUGUAUGGGGAUCUGCCCGAUAGAGGGGGAUAACUACUGGAAACGGUGGCUAAUACCGCAUACUAUCGGCUGACCCCAUAUGGGAUUAGCUAGUAGGUGGGGUAAAGGCUCACCUAGGCGACCAUCUCUAGCUGGUCUGAGAGGAUGACCAGCCACACGGGAACUGAGACACGGUCCAGACUCCUACGGGAGGCAGCAGUGGGGAAUAUUGCACAAUUGGCGCAAGCCUGAUGCAGCCAUGCCGUGGGUGUGAAGAAGGCCUUCGGGUUGUAAAGUACUUCCAGCGUGGAGGCGUUACUCGCAGAAGAAGCACCGGCUAACUCCGUGUCAGCAGCCGCGGUAAUAC
rnacentral:rRNA from 1 species